UACGUAGGGGGCAAGCGUUGUCCGGAAUCAUUGGGCGUAAAGAGCGUGUAGGCGGCCUGAUAAGUCGGCUGUGAAAGUCAAGGGCUCAACCCUUGAAUGCCGGCCGAUACUGUCAGGCUAGAGUCCGGAAGAGGCGAGUGGAAUUCCUGGUGUAGCGGUGAAAUGCGCAGAUAUCAGGAGGAACAUCGAUGGCGAAGGCAGCUCGCUGGGACGGUACUGACGCUGAGACGCGAAAGCGUGGGGAGCGAACAGG
rnacentral:rRNA from 1 species